rnacentral:rRNA from 1 species
UUGACCUCGGAUCAGGUAGGGAUACCCGCUGAACUUAAGCAUAUCAAUAAGCGGAGGAAAAGAAACCAACCGGGAUUGCCCCAGUAACGGCGAGUGAAGCGGCAAGAGCUCAAAUUUGAAAGCUGGCCCCCCCGGGGUCCGCGUUGUAAUUUGCAGAGGAUGCUUCGGGAGCGGCCCCCGUCUAAGUGCCCUG